CUACUACUCCCUCCAUCCGGAAAUACUUGUCAUUGAAAUGGAUGUAUCUAGAUGUACUUUAGUUCUAGAUACAUCCAUUUUGAUGACAAGUAAUUUCAGACGGAGGGAGUACUAG
rnacentral:pre_miRNA from 1 species